GGACCAAUAGUGUAGCUUGGAUAUCACUAGGGCUUCCGGAGCCUUAAACCAGGGUUCGAAUCCCUGUUGGUCCG
rnacentral:tRNA from 2 species